CACACCCACAGAGACAGACAGACAUACAGACACGCACACACAGAGAGGUUAAAUGGAGUAGUAGUCAGGACACAUGGAUCAUACACAACAGACUUAUAAAACAUAACUUAAUGCUUCUUCUGUUCAAAAUCAUGUUGUCAAAGACACAAGGGUGUUUUUCUAAAGCAACUGAACACAGGUGGUCCAGUGGUAAACAGAGCGAAACUCUCCUCCCCACAGAUCCUUAUUGUUGUCAGCAGGCGAGCUGUGACUGUGUGACCGAGGCUUGUACCUGCACACACAUGUCCAAUAACACACGGCGGGCCAGAUAAUCGCCACGGUACCCUAUCGAUCCAGGGACUAGUGAGGACAUGGAUUUUGCUGACACACACAGAAACAAAUCUGAUCUGAGCCGGGCGACGGUGAGAGGCCUCAAGGUGACCCCAACAUCCCAUUGACACACACCGAGCCAGACAAGGUCAAUCAAUCCCUGCAUCAGACAUCAGAUCCCGCUAGGCGAGCAGGCGAGAGAUGAGGGGGAGAAUAAAAUAUAAUGGGCAAGAGGUGUUGAGAACAGAGAAAGAGAGGUGAGGAGAAGGGAGUUGAGGACAGUAGAGAGGAAAAGAGAGGAAAAGAGAGAGAGGAGAGGUGAAGGAGAAGGGAGUUGAGGACAGUAGAGAGGAAAAGAGAGAGAGGAGAGGUGAAGGUGAAGGGAGUUGAUGACAGUAGAGAGGAAAAUAGGAAAAGAGAGAGAGGAGAGGUGAAGGUGAAGGGAGUUGAUGACAGUAGAGAGGAAAAUAGGAAAAGAGAGAGAGGAGAGGUGAAGGGAGUUGAUGAUAGUAGAGAGGAAAAUAGGAAAAGAGAGAGAGGAGAGGUGAAGGGAGUUGAUGACAGUAGAGAGGAAAAUAGGAAAAGAGAGAGAGGAGAGGAGAAGGUGAAGGGAGUUGAUGACAGUAGAGAGGAAAAUAGGAAAAGAGAGAGGAGAGGUGAAGGGAGUUGAUGACAGUAGAGAGGAAAAUAGGAAAAGAGAGAGAGGAGGUGAAGGUGAAGGGAGUUGAUGACAGUAGAGAGGAAAAUAGGAAAAGAGAGAGAGGAGAGGUGAAGGUGAAGGGAGUUGAUGACAGUAGAGAGGAAAAUAGGAAAAGAGAGAGAGGAGAGGUGAAGGGAGUUGAUGACAGUAGAGAGGAAAAUAGGAAAAGAGAGAGAGGAGAGGUGAAGGGAGUUGAUGACAGUAGAGAGGAAAAUAGGAAAAGAGAGAGAGGAGAGGUGAAGGGAGUUGAUGACAGUAGAGAGGAAAAUAGGAAAAGAGAGAGAGGAGAGGUGAAGGUGAAGGGAGUUGAUGACAGUAGAGAGGAAAAUAGGAAAAGAGAGAGAGGAGAGGUGAAGGUGAAGGGAGUUGAUGACAGUAGAGAGGAAAAUAGGAAAAGAGAGAGAGGAGAGGUGAAGGUGAAGGGAGUUGAUGACAGUAGAGAGGAAAAUAGGAAAAGAGAGAGAGGAGAGGUGAAGGGAGUUGAUGACAGUAGAGAGGAAAAUAGGA